CCAACAGGGAUUGCCUCAGUAACGGCGAGUGAAGCGGCAACAGCUCAAAUUUGAAAGCUGGCUCUCUCAGAGCCCGCGUUGUAAUUUGUAGAGGAUGCUUCGGGUGCGGCGCUGGUCUAAGUUCUUUGGAACAAGACGUCAUAGAGGGUGAGAAUCCCGUAUGUGACUAGCUGCCUGCGCCUGUGUGAAGCUCCUUCGACGAGUCGAGUUGUUUGGGAAUGCAGCUCAAAAUGGGUGGUGUACUUCAUCUAAAGCUAAAUAUUGGCCAGAGACCGAUAGCGCACAAGUAGAGUGAUCGAAAGAUGAAAAGCACUUUGGAAAGAGAGUUAAACAGUACGUGAAAUUGUUGAAAGGGAAGCGCUUGCAAUCAGACUUGCGCGGCGUCGAUCAACCUGGGUUCUCCCUGGUGCACUCGGCGCUGCUCAGGCCAGCAUCAGUUUUGGCGGUUGGAUAAAGGCCUAGGGAACGUGGGUUACUUCGGUGACUGUUAUAGCCCUAGGUGCAAUGCAGCCUGCUGGGACUGAGGACCGCGCUUCGGCUAGGAUGCUGGCGUAAUGGUUGUAAGCGACCCGUCUUGAAACACGGACCAAGGAGUCUAACAUCUAUGCGAGUUUUUGGGUGUCAAACCCAUAAGCGUAAUGAAAGUGAACGGAGGUGAGAACCCUUAAGGGUGCAUCAUCGACCGAUCCUGAUGUCUUCGGAUGGAUUUGAGUAAGAGCAUAGCUGUUGGGACCCGAAAGAUGAUGAUCUAUACCUGAAUAGGGUGAAGCCAGAGGAAACUCUGGUGGAGGCUCGCAGCGGUUCUGACGUGCAAAUCGAUCGUCAAAUUUGGGUAUAGGGGCGAAAGACUAAUCGAA
rnacentral:rRNA from 1 species